UACGUAGGGUGCAAGCGUUGUCCGGAAUUAUUGGGCGUAAAGAGCUCGUAGGCGGUCUGUCGCGUCGGCUGUGAAAUCCCGGAGCUCAACUCCGGGCCUGCAGUCGAUACGGGCAGACUGGAGUUCGGCAGGGGAGACUGGAAUUCCUGGUGUAGCGGUGAAAUGCGCAGAUAUCAGGAGGAACACCAAUGGCGAAGGCAGCUUGCUGGGCCACUCCUGACACUGAGGUACGAAAGCGUGGGGAGCGAACAGG
rnacentral:rRNA from 1 species